GACGAACGCUGGCGGCGUGCUUAACACAUGCAAGUCGAACGAAGUGGCGGACGGGUGAGUAACGCGUAGUCAACCUGCCCUUCAGAGGGGGACAACAGUUGGAAACGACGGCUAUUACCGCAUACGGAUGGAGGGGUUUGCGUGGGAUUGGCUCGGUGGGGGGGUAACGGCCCACCAAGGCGAUGGUCAGUAGCCGGUCUGGGAGGAUGAACGGGCACAUUGGGACUGGGACACGGCCCAGACUCCUACGGGGGGCAGCAGUGGGGAAUCUUCCGAAAUGGACGAAAGGCUGACUGAGCAACGCCGCGUGAGUGAUGACGGCCUUCGGGUUGUAAAGCUCUGUUAAGCGGGACGCGGUACCGGAAUAGAAAGCCACGGCUAACUACGUGCCAGCAGCCGCGGUAAUAC
rnacentral:rRNA from 1 species